UACGUAGGGGGGCGAGCGUUGUCCGGAAUUACUGGGCGUAAAGGGCGCGUAGGCGGUUUCUUUAGUCAGAGGUGAAAAACUGUGGGCUCAACCCACAGCCUGCCUUUUGAAACUGGGAGACUUGAGUGCAGGAGAGGGGAGUGGAAUUCCCGGUGUAGCGGUGAAAUGCGCAGAUAUCAGGAGGAACACCGGUGGCGAAGGCGGGGUCCUGGGCCAGUACUGACGCUGAGGAGCGAAAAGCGUGGGGGAGCAAACAGG
rnacentral:rRNA from 1 species